rnacentral:rRNA from 1 species
GACAGAGGUGCCAAGCGUUAGGCGGAAUCAUUGGGCGUAAAGCGCGCGUAGGUGGUCCUGUCAGUCCGCUGUGAAAGUCAAAGGCUCAACCUUUGAAAGCCGGUGGAUACUGGAUGGCUAGAGUACGGAAGAGGCGAGUGGAAUUCCUGGUGUAGCGGUGGAAUGCGCAGAUAUCAGGAGGAACACCAAUAGCGAAGGCAGCUCGCUGGGACGUUACUGACACUAAGGCGCGAAAGCGUGGGGAGCGAACAGG